CGCAAGCCUGACGGAGCAACGCCGCGUGAGGGAGGAAGGCCUGUGGGUUGUAAACCUCUUUUAUCAGGGAAGAAUAACUGACGGUACCUGAUGAAUCAGCAUCGGCUAACUCCGUGCCAGCAGCCGCGGUAAGACGGAGGAUGCAAGCGUUAUCCGGAAUGAUUGGGCGUAAAGCGUUCGUAGGUGGCAAUUCAAGUCUGCUGUCAAAGACAGUAGCUCAACUACUGCAAGGCAGUGGAAACUGAAUAGCUAGAGUGCGGUAGGGGCAGAGGGAAUUCCCGGUGUAGCGGUGAAAUGCGUAGAGAUCGGGAAGAACACCGGUGGCGAAAGCGCUCUGCUGGGCCGCAACUGACACUGAGGGACGAAAGCUAGGGGAGCG
rnacentral:rRNA from 1 species